CACCCGCAGCUCGAGUGGUGGUCACUUUUAUUGAGCCUAAAGCGUUUGUAGCCGGUUUUGCAAAUCUUCAGAUAAAUUCCUCUGCUUAACAGAUGAUCUUCUGAAGAGACUGCGAGACUUGGGACCGGGUGAGGUUGAAGGUACUUCCGGGGUAGGGGUAAAAUCCUGUAAUCCUGGAAGGACGACCGGUGGCGAAGGCGUUCAACUAGAACGGAUCCGACGGUGAGGAACGGGGGCUAGGGUAGCAAACCGGAUUAGAUACCCGGGUAGUCCUAGCUGUAAACACUGCCCACUUGGUGUUGCCCCUCCGAUGAGGGGAGGCAGUGCCGGAGCGAAGGUGUUAAGUGGGCCGCUUGGGGAGUAUGGUCGCAAGGCUGAAACUUAAAGGAAUUGGCGGGGGAGCACCGCAACGGGAGGAGCGUGCGGUUUAAUUGGAUUCAACGCCGGAAAACUCACCGGGAGCGACCUUUGGAUGAGAGUCAGCCUGAUGAGCUUACUCGAUAGAAGGAGAGGUGGUGCAUGGCCGUCGUCAGCUCGUACCGUAGGGCGUUCACUUAAGUGUGAUAACGAGCGAGACCCCCAUCUCUAAUUGCUAACGUGCAUUCGCGUGUACGCGCACUUUAGAGGGACCGCCAGUGCUAAACUGGAGGAAGGAGGGGUCGACGGCAGGUCAGUACGCCCCGAAUCUCCCGGGCAACACGCGCGCUACAAAGGGCAGGACAAUGAGUUGCCACCUCGAAAGGGGGAGCUAAUCUCGAAACCUGUUCGUAGUUAGGAUUGAGGGCUGUAACUCGCCCUCAUGAAUGUGGAUUCCGUAGUAAUCGCGGGUCAACAGCCCGCGGUGAAUAUGCCCCUGCUCCU
rnacentral:rRNA from 1 species